rnacentral:rRNA from 1 species
CUACGGGAGGCAGCAGUGGGGAAUAUUGCACAAUGGGCGCAAGCCUGAUGCAGCCAUGCCGCGUGUGUGAAGAAGGCCUUCGGGUUGUAAAGCACUUUCAGCGGGGAGGAAGGUGGUGAGGUUAAUAACCUCAUCGAUUGACGUUACCCGCAGAAGAAGCACCGGCUAACUCCGUGCCAGCAGCCGCGGUAAUACGGAGGGUGCAAGCGUUAAUCGGAAUUACUGGGCGUAAAGCGCACGCAGGCGGUCUGUCAAGUCGGAUGUGAAAUCCCCGGGCUCAACCUGGGAACUGCAUUCGAAACUGGCAGGCUAGAGUCUUGUAGAAGGGGGUAGAAUUCCAGGUGUAGCGGUGAAAUGCGUAGAGAUCUGGAGGAAUACCGGUGGCGAAGGCGGCCCCCUGGACAAAGACUGACGCUCAGGUGCGAAAGCGUGGGGAGCAAACAGGAUUAGAUACCCGGGUAGUC